CACUCCUGCGGGAGGCAGCAGUGGGGAAUAUUGCACAAUGGGCGCAAGCCUGAUGCAGCCAUGCCGCGUGUAUGAAGAAGGCCUUCGGGUUGUAAAGUACUUUCAGCGGGGAGGAAGGCGAUAAGGUUAAUAACCUUGUCGAUUGACGUUACCCGCAGAAGAAGCACCGGCUAACUCCGUGCCAGCAGCCGCGGUAAUACGGAGGGUGCAAGCGUUAAUCGGAAUUACUGGGCGUAAAGCGCACGCAGGCGGUCUGUCAAGUCGGAUGUGAAAUCCCCGGGCUCAACCUGGGAACUGCAUUCGAAACUGGCAGGCUAGAGUCUUGUAGAGGGGGGUAGAAUUCCAGGUGUAGCGGUGAAAUGCGUAGAGAUCUGGAGGAAUACCGGUGGCGAAGGCGGCCCCCUGGACAAAGACUGACGCUCAGGUGCGAAAGCGUGGGGAGCAAACAGGAUUAGAUACCCCGGUAGUCC
rnacentral:rRNA from 1 species